UGUCUUCACCUGAAUCGGCCACCUGGCAAUUCCAUAUUUUACCCCAUACAUUAUCCUAAUUUAUUUUCGUUCCCACCCUCUUUCUCUUUCUCUCCUGUUUGUUCUGAAAGCAUUUGCACACUUUACGUUAUUUAACAGUUAAAAAUUACCCAUUCCAUCUUCAAAAUAACCAAUUUCAUCCAAGUUUUUGUAGGAGUUUCCCCAUGUAGAAUUUGCAUGUUUAUUCAUUUUCUUUCUUAAGAUCAAGUUUGUUCGCCGAUUUUGACUAGUAAUCCUCUUUAGAAAUCGAAGAAAACAACCCAUGAUUGCAAUGCUAUGUACAGGAUCACGGCUUUUUUUCCUUCUCAUUUUCUCUUCCAUUCUUUUUCCAUGCACCCUUGGAGGAUCUGAGUCUAAUUUUCUUUUAUCUAAACACCACCAAUUUCAGCUGAAUUUUAAAAGGGGGAGAAUGAACAUAAUGCGGUCCACUCUUGGGGUACAAAAAGAAUUCUUGCUGAAAGUCCGAAUUGUCAGCCUUCAUCACUUAUCUUGGCUGCCAACAGAACACACAGAAAAGAUCCUCUCAAUGAUUACAACAAAUAUAGCGGUGGAUGCAACAUCAGUGAGCCCCAUUACUGGGCUGUCAACAGACAGGUGGACGUGAUCCUUAGAAGCCCUACCAGCCGCACUUGACAGCGCUCCAGUUGUUUCGGAGCCUCACCUCAGCGGUACUAUUUUGUGUAUGUAUAUUCGGGCCCGACAGUACUCGGCCCUCUCUAUGUAUAAGUAUACUAUGUCUAGAGGCUCGUAGACAGAUAUGUACAGUCAGUCAGGUAUGGUUAGAUAUAUGGU